rnacentral:rRNA from 1 species
UACGUAGGGUGCGAGCGUUAAUCGGAAUUACUGGGCGUAAAGCGUGCGCAGGCGGUUUUGUAAGCCCGAUGUGAAAGCCCCGGGCUCAACCUGGGAAUGGCAUUUGGGACUGCAAGGCUUGAGUGCGGCAGAGGAGACUGGAAUUCCUGGUGUAGCAGUGAAAUGCGUAGAUAUCGUAAGGAAGACCAGUGGCGAAGGCGGGUCUCUGGACAGUUCCUGACGCUGAGGCACGAAGGUCAGGGGAGCAAACGGG